UUUUUUGAGAGUUUGAUCCUGGCUCAGGAUGAACGCUGGCGGUGUGCUUUAGGCAUGCAAGUCGAACGGUAACAGGUCUAGUUUACUAGAUGCUGACGAGUGGCGAACGGGUGAGUAACACGUAGGAAUCUACCUAGUAGCGGGGGAUAGCCCAUCGAAAGAUGGGAUAAUACCGCAUAAGCCCUUACGGGGAAAGCAUUUAUGCACUAUUAGAGGAGCCUGCGCGCUAUCAGUUAGUUGGUGGGGUAAUGGCCUACCAAGACUACGACGGCUAGCCGAUGUGAGAGCAUGAUCGGCCACAAGGUUACUGAGACACGGAACCUACACCUACGGGUGGCAGC
rnacentral:rRNA from 1 species